rnacentral:misc_RNA from 1 species
GAAAUGCGAUAAGUAAUGUGAAUUGCAGAAUUCAGUGAAUCAUCGAAUCUUUGAACGCACAUUGCGCCCGCCAGUAUUCUGGCGGGCAUGCCUGUUCGAGCGUCAUUACAACCCUCAGGCCCCCGGGCCUGGCGUUGGGGAUCGGCGGAAGCCCUCUGCGGGCACAACGCCGUCCCCCAAAUACAGUGGCGGUCCCGCCGCAGCUUCCAUUGCGUAGUAGCUAACACCUCGCAACUGGAGAGCGGCGCGGCCACGCCGUAAAACACCCAACUUCUGAAUGUUGACCUCGAAUCAGGUAGGAAUACCCGCUGAACUUAAGC